AUACGGAGGAUGCGAGCGUUAUCCGGAUUUAUUGGGUUUAAAGGGUGCGUAGGCGGUUUAUUAAGUCAGCGGUGAAAGUUUGAGGCUCAACCUUAAAAUUGCCGUUGAAACUGGUAGACUUGAGUACAGAUGAAGUGGGCGGAAUUUGUGGUGUAGCGGUGAAAUGCAUAGAUAUCACAAGGAACUCCGAUUGCGAAGGCAGCUCACUAAGUUGUAACUGACGCUGAUGCACGAAAGCGUGGGUAUC
rnacentral:rRNA from 1 species